rnacentral:lncRNA from 1 species
UUCAACAAAUCAAAAUAGUUAUUAGAAAUUUUUAAUAGGAUUUUUUUUAUAAUAGUAAUUGUUUUCAUCAAAAAUAAAAUAAAAUUUACAUUGGAUUCUCUUUUUUGACGACUGGUAUCCAGCUUGCGUAUCUCUCACCUUCACGCUACCUCCAUCUCUCUCAACACACGCCACCCACUCAAAUGCUCUGUCUCCACUUUAUCUCGGGCUCAACAGUGAAAAAGAAGAAAAUUCUCUUCCUCACGUUACCUCUCAC